GGCCCAACACGCUGUCCAUCCCCUCUAGGUCUGGCCCAAAACGUUUUCCCUCCGCUCUAGGUCUGGCCCAACACGCUGUCCCUCCGCUCUAGGUCUGGCCCAACACACUGUCCCUCCGCUCUAGGUCUGGCCCAACACACUGUCCCUCCGCUCUAGGUCUGGCCCAACACACUGUCCCUCCCCUCUAGGUCUGGCCCAACACACUGUCCCUCCCCUCUAGGUCUGGCCCAACACACUGUCCCUCCGCUCUAGGUCUGGCCCAACACACUGUCCCUCCGCUCUAGGUCUGGCCCAACACACUGUCCCUCCCCUCUAGGUCUGGCCCAACACACUGUCCCUCCCCUCUAGGUCUGGCCCAAGACGCUGUCCCUCCCCUCUAGGUCUGGCCCAACACGCUGUCCCUCCGCUCUAGGUCUGGCACAACACGCUGUCCCUCCGCUCUAGGUCUGGCCCAACACACUGUCCCUCCCCUCUCGGUCUGGCCCAACACACUGUCCCUCCCCUCUACGUCUGGCCCAACACGCUGUCCCUCCGCUCUCGGUCUGGCCCAACACACUGUCCCUCCCCUCAAGGUCUGGCCCAACACACUGUCCCUCCCCUCAAGGUCUGGCCCAACACGCUGUCCCUCCGCUCUACGUCUGGCCCAACACGCUGUCCCUCCGCUCUAGGUCUGGCCCAACACACUGUCCCUCCCCUCUAGGUCUGGCCCAACACGCUGUCCCUCCGCUCUAGGUCUGGCCCAACACGCUGUCCCUCCCCUCUACGUCUGGCCCAACACGCUGUCCCUCCGCUCUAGGUCUAGCCCAACACACUGUCCCUCCCCUCUAGGUCUGGCCCAACACGCUGUCCCUCCCCUCUAGGUCUGGCCCAACACGCUGUCCCUCCCCUCUAGGUCUGGCCCAACACGCUGUCCCUCCCCUCUACGUCUGACCCAACACGCUGUCCCUCCACUCUAGGUCUGGGGAUGUUGUGUAAAUAAAAUUAUAGUAAAUAAAAUUGGUAGCUAAUCUAAUGAGUAGCAACAUGAUAGAGCUAGCUCAGUUUGGACUCCGACCAAAGUAAAGGGACUAUACAGGAGUAUGUUUUGACAGGCUGUAAAAGGGGUUUCGACGUGCUGGUUUACACACAGUUGUAUUAUUUUGUCAUUUUCUCAAGUGUUUAAAACACACCACAACCCACACACAUUGCUUCCCACACAGUUCAUUCCUUAUGCUCACACAGUGUAGUUUAAACCAGAACGAACACAAGAACAGAAUAGAUCUUCAGUCUUUUACAAAUCCACUUCCUACAUACAUCUGCCCUACUCCCUCCUUUGGGCUUCUUUUUAAUACAUUUUAUUUUCAAUAGUUCAUUGCAACUAUUGAUCUUUGACAUGUGGUUAUUUUUGAGUCAACUACAGAAACCCUGUUAACUCUGAGCAUGAACGAGAGGGGAUGUGUGCAUGUUCGUGUUAAGUAUUCUAAACCGGUGCACAACAGAAGUUUUUCCUGACCACAUGACCUUGCAGGAAAAUUAGCCCUGAAUACAGGUUAUUAGUAGUAGAAUAGUGAAACUACUACAGUAUUUUCUCUCUGUUGUACAGCUCCCUUCCUGCAGGCUUCUCUCAAGUACAGAGAGAAUGAGAAGACAUGUUGAGGAGAGGGAGAGAGACGGUGAAGAAAGAGAGAGGGGUACAAUGUUAAUUCCAGGGGAGCAGAGAUUGGCGGUAGUGUAGAGCGGAGGAUAAAACUGAGAGCUGUCACGACACAGAGACACAGCGCUAGAAGAAGACAGGAACACGUCGGCCUGGAGAUGGGGAGAGUGGGCGGCUGUGGGCGACACAGAUCCACACUCCAAACAAGCUUAACGGGAAUGGAAAAACAUGAACUGUGCAGCACAUGAAAGCCUGAUAUGUAGAAUUCACAGGUGCAGCAUAUCAUUUAAUAGUGAGAGAACAGGGAUAAAUUAUAUUACAGUAAUUUAGUAGAUUCUCAUAUCCAGAGCGACUUACAGUAGUGAGUAAGUACAUUUUGGUAAUGGUCCCCCAUGGGAAUAGAACCCAAACCCUGACGUUGAAAGCGCCAUGCUCUAACAACUGAGCCACACGGGACCAUUGCCAUGUGAGGAAAAGGAAACGGGACCAUGUGAACAAAGGAAAGUGCACAAUGAGUUUGUGUUUGAUUAAAGUCACACCCACAUGAUCUAAGUUUACCUCAUGCAGUACAGGAAACGAUAUGUUCAGAUACACGUGUACAGACGCUCCUACAGAAUGUGCGCUCUGAACAUCCACAUCAGACAACUGUUUCUCAGCAGGUUUCUAAUUCUUUCCAAUUAAAACCUAAUCAAGACAAACAAUUAGGAAGUAAGUCGAUAAAGAAAUCAAUUGAAGAAAUAUGAAGAUACAAACUUGACACAGGCCAAUACAUCUUUGACACUAGUGGUGUUGGAAAUAAUGACACCCAGAUGAGUGGCCGAACACAAAGUUAUACAGACAGACUGACCGUCAGUCAGGUAAAUAGCCGAACACCGGCAGAGACAGAUAUAAAAAAAAGGACAGACAGAGGUCAGAAGAUGUGUCCAGUCCAAGUCUCUGAAGUGGGACAGACAGCAGCUGACAUCACAAACACACACCCAGCAUGUCCACCUCACCCUGUCCAUGCAGGAGCUGUACGUAAAAUGAUUUUGUGUGGCAAUUUAAUCUAUGAUCAAUUGUGUGCAGAUCACCACUUUAACGCAGAAGAUUUAUGCCAAGUGGUUUUAUUAUUUUAUUGCCAAAUGAGGAAAUAGCCUGGGUACAGACUAUUGAAGACUACUGAAGUGUGAAGUGUUGGUGAGCUGAGACUGUUCCCUCAGGUGCUGGACAUCAUCUUUUAAAUCAUAAAUGUCUUCUGUAAUCGCCUGAGUGUCCAGCACAAUGUUUCUGGUGACUUGCGGGUAAAACCAGGCAGAGGGAAGGCUUGUCUCAUUUCUGUUCUAAUUCUCUGCACACCCCCUAGCCAAAGGGCACCUUAUUUCCGUACCCCCUUAUUGUUCUUAUUUGCCUGACCUUCGGCAUAGCAAGGUGCCUGAGAGCUAGGACUGUGCCAAGGGCUAACAUAUUGUGUGUUGUCUCUUCAUGUGCAGGGCAAAUAAAAAUAAUUCAACUAGCAGACCUCCAGUUGUGGCAGCGUCCUAAUUAAAAGUACACAACGCAGAACGAACAACGCUACAUGUGCUUCAGGGAAAAUACAAUCUGCAAUUUAAGUACUGAUACUACACUGCUCAAAAAAAUAAAGGGAACACUUAAACAACACAAUGUAACUCCAAGUCAAUCACACUUCUGUGAAAUCAAACUGUCCACUUAGGAAGCAACACUGAUUGACAAUAAAUUCCACAUGUUGUUGUGCAAAUGGGAAUAGACAACAGGUGGAAAUUAUAGGCAUUUAGCAAGACACCCCCAAUAAAGGAGUGGUUCUGCAGGUGGUAACCACAGACCACUUCUCAGUUCCUAUGCUUCCUGGCUGAUGUUUUGGUCACUUUUGAAUGCUGGCGGUGCUUUCACUCUAGUGGUAGCAUGAGACGGAGUCUACAACCCACACAAGUGGCUCAGGUAGUGCAGCUCAUCCAGGAUGACACAUCAAUGCGAGCUGUGGCAAGAAGGUUUGCUGUGUCUGUCAGCAUAGUGUCCAGAGCAUGGAGACGCUACCAGGAGACAGGCCAGUACAUCAGGAGACGUGGAGGAGGCCGUAGGAGGGCAACAACCCAGCAGCAGGACCGCUACCUCCGCCUUUCUGCAAGGAGGAGCAGGAGCAGCACUGCCAGAGCCCUGCAAAAUGACCUCCAGCAGGCCACAAAUGUGCAUGUGUCUGCUCAAACGGUCAGAAACAGCCUCCAUGAGGGUGGUAUGAGGGCCCGACAUCCACAGGUGGGUGUUGUGCUUACAGCCCAACACCGUGCAGGACGUUUGGCAUUUGCCAGAGAACACCAAGAUUGGCAAAUUCGCCACUGGCGCCCUGUGCUCUUCACAGAUGAAAGCAGGUUCACACUGAGCACAUGUGACAGACGUGACAGAGUCUAGAGACGCCAUGGAGAACGUUCUGCUGCCUGCAACAUCCUCCAGCAUGACCGGUUUGGCGGUGGGUCAGUCAUGGUGUGGGGUGGCAUUUCUUUGGGGGGCCGCACAGCCUUCCAUGUCAGAGGUAGCCUGACUGCCAUUAGGUACCGAGAUGAGAUCCUCAGACCCCUUGUGAGACCAUAUGCUGGUGCGGUUGGCCCUGGGUUCCUCCUAAUGCAAGACAAUGCUCGACCUCAUGUGGCUGGAGUGUGUCAGCAGUUCCUGCAAGAGGAAGGCGUUGAUGCUAUGGACUGGCCCGCCCGUUCCCCAGACCUAAAUCCAAUUGAGCACAUCUGGGACAUCAUGUCUCGCUCCAUCCACCAACGCCACGUUGCACCACAGACUGUCCAGGAGUUGGUGGAUGCUUUAGUUCAGGUCUGGGAGGAGAUCCCUCAGGAGACCAUCCGCCACCUCAUCAGGAGCAUGCCCAGGCGUUGUAGGGAGGCC